rnacentral:rRNA from 1 species
GACGAACGCUGGCGGCGUGCUUAACACAUGCCAGUCGAACGGAAAGGCCCUGCUCUUGUGGGGUGCUCGAGUGGCGAACGGGUGAGUAACGCGUGAGUAACCUGCCCUUGACUUUGGGAUAACUUCAGGAAACUGGGGCUAAUACCGGAUAGGAGCUCCUGCUGCAUGGUGGGGGUUGGAAAGUUUCGGCGGUUGGGGAUGGACUCGCGGCUUAUCAGCUUGUUGGUGGGGUAGUGGCUUACCAAGGCUUUGACGGGUAGCCGGCCUGAGAGGGUGACCGGCCACAUUGGGACUGAGAUACGGCCCAGACUCCUACGGGAGGCAGCAGUGGGGAAUAUUGCACAAUGGGCGGAAGCCUGAUGCAGCAACGCCGCGUGCGGGAUGACGGCCUUCGGGUUGUAAACCGCUUUCGCCUGUGACGAAGCGUGAGUGACGGUAAUGGGUAAAGAAGCACCGGCUAACUACGUG